rnacentral:rRNA from 1 species
UACGUAGGGUGCAAGCGUUGUCCGGAAUUAUUGGGCGUAAAGGGUGCGUAGGCGGUGCGGUAAGUCUGUUGUGAAAUCUCCGAGCUCAACUCGGAGUCUGCAUCAGAAACUGCCGUGCUGGAGUGUGGGAGAGGUGAGUGGAAUUCCCGGUGUAGCGGUGAAAUGCGUAGAGAUCGGGAGGAACACCUGCGGCGAAAGCGGCUCACUGGACCAUAACUGACGCUGAUGCACGAAAGCUAGGGGAGCAAACAGG